GGCAAGUCUAACAAUAACAUGGCAACGGUACUAGUCUCGAUUUCAUUGACAGCAACGUGCAACAAUAGUUUGCGGAAACUUUGAUUAUUUGUGGUCUAUAAUUCGAGUUUUAUCGCAGGAAAACUCUGUGAUUAAAAUCGAUUCAGGAUGACAGACCUGGGUAUGGACAUGAUCACGAAGAAACCACGGACUCCGCGGGAUGAGUACACCCUGCUGACAGAGUCACAGAUCAGAAACAUCAGACAGAACCGAACAUCUUUCUUUGACGUCAGUAAAAUCGGAUGGACGCCAUCGCGGACCCCCUACAAGAAUGGAGAGAGAGCCACAUUCAAGAGGUUCUCGCAUUCAGCCAAUGAAAAUCUGUUUCGGGGCAGGACUCUCUCGGGACCAGUUUGUUGGAUUGACGAACAAGUCACCACCACCGUACCCGAGAACCACAACACAUCAAGACAUGGAGCAUCGCUUCCAUGGGGUGUCGAAAAACAAGGUUUGAGGACACUAGGGCACCCACAGAGUGAUGAAACCUGGAGGUUUAUGAAGAUAGGCAUGUACUGCAGACACCCAACAAACAUCCCCGGAGAAAUCAACAUGAAAUUUGGCAGACCUGGCCAAGGAUACCAUGCCCAAAGAUUUCCAAGUAAUUCAUCAUGGUUCGGCACCUCUGCUCCACUGAACCGGACUGCGAUCCUCGAUGACAUUCACAGAAAGACAUCAGAAGAAUACGAUGCUAUCCAAACCUUUAAACAAAAGCACAUUCAAAAAAGACUGAGAAAGUUUCCUGAAUUUUCAGAAUAUACAGACAAAUUUGCAUUGUUAUCCAAAUUAGUGCCAAUACCUAAAACCCUGCAUGAAAGGAAGCAGUUCAUGUUACAGCAGAAAGCAGAAAUGGAGGAAGACGCAAAAGCAGAAGCAGAACUGAAGGCAGCACAAGAAGCAAACCAGAGACAAAAAGCAGAAUCACGAUUUGUAUAUUAAUUAGUUCGCACCCGACUGAUUUUGCCAGUGUCUGACCUGCCUGAACCAAAACCACAAUUUCCGAAGCAAAAGUUAUACAAUUUAGAAAGAAACUUUUUAAAAAUUUAAAAAGAAACUUUUCUGUAGUUAAGAUCUGAAUAUGUUAUGGAUCUUGGCACCUGACUGAUUUUGCCAGUGUCGAAUCUGGCUGUACCAAAACCACAACAUACAAAGAAGAAAUAAAAUUUGCAUAUUAAUUAGUUCACAUCUGAAUGCAAAAUUAUACAAUUUAGAUAUUCAUUAAAAAGAAACUUUUCUGUAGUUAAGAUGUGAAAAUGUUAUGGAUCUUUGCAGAAAGAAGACAUCAGUAUGUUCACACCUGACUGAUUUUGCCAGUGUCGAACUGGCUGUUCCCAAACCACAACAUACAAAGAAGAAAUUAAAUUUGCAUAUUAAUUAGUUCACAUUUGAAUGAUUUUAGCAUGGAGUACCUAACUGUACCAAAAAUGAAACUUACAAAUAGCAGAAACAUAAUUUGCAUAUUUACUGCCUACUUAUUUAUCACCAAGCGCUUGCGAACAGUUUGACUGGUUUAAUUAAAAACAAAGUGUAUAGUCGGUGAUGGAUAUUGGAACAAAGAAAAACAUGUCUUACAAACAUUGACAUAACCAGGAUUUUAUAUUUGCGGGUGGGGUACCCACACUCUCUACAGCCAGGAUUUUAUAUUUGCGGGUGGGGUGGGGUACCCACACUAUCUACAAGUGGUAUUAUGGGAUGACAGGCAAAUAUAAAAAUGGGGUCCAGAAACAUAGUUGGCAAAUUAAUUUAAAAAUCUGUUUUUGUGUAGUAAAUCUAUCCCAGUGAUUUCACCAGUGAUGGAUUUGGUGAUAAAGAGGCCAUACCAAAAAACAAAACUCCCGAAAAGCAGAAAUACAAUUUUGCAUUAUUAAAACAAUAUUUUUGAGUAUUUAAGGUACAGUUUUCCAUGUACGUAGUUUUUUUAUGUGGCGUGGUCACAGUACACGAAAAACAAAUGCUUUAAAGGUCCUACAUGUAUGUCAAAGUUGAAACUACCACAUUUUGUUAUUUUCACAUUUCUUUGUAAUAAAUAACUACAAAUUAAUCAGUCCCAAAAAUAAUCUUUCCAUAAUUAACUCAAGAAUUAUCAUUUUUAAAAGUCUUGUGGCUAAAUAUAGCAUGGUCACCAUCUUUGUUUCUUUGGCAACGAAUUAGGGAAAAAACUUAGUGUGUUGAAUGUGUAUGCCUAAAACAAUGACAUCACUAGUUGAAACAUUUGACACACUCUGAAGAUUCCCCACUAAAAUACUCUUUUUUUUCUUCUAGUAAAUGGAAUUAUUUGGUUGUAAUUUUUAUAGGAAUAUAGGUAAAGGUAUAAAAUUUAUUUCAAAGAAAACAUUAAUUAAUAUUUUUGGCAGGAAAGGCCAUUUUUGUAACUUUGACAUAGCACCUUUAAAAAAAAAAAUUCUAUGGUUUUCUACAGAAGUGUUUCAUGCUGCUACAAAAACUGUACUCAUGAAUGGAAGUCUGUGUUUAAUAUAUGAAUGUUUGUGCCAAUGACAGAUCUGGGGAUAACGAUGCCAUACUAAAACCUAAACUUUACAACCAAAUACACAGUUUGGAUUUGAUUUUAGUUUUAUUCAUAAAGUUACUGACUAUAAAUCCUAUAAGAUAUCCGACAUCAUUAACUAGUUAUUAUCUUUAUGCUGCAGACCAUAAACAUUAAGUGGAAAAGCUAUUAUUUCUGUUAUUUCAGUCACAUUGUACGAUGAUCUAGAGGUCAAUGAGCAAUUUUGUAAUGUAGCUAUGCGUGCGACGUCAUAUGACUGACGUCAUAUGACUGACGUCAAAAGUCAUAUCCUGCUGCUAUACGGAUAUGACUUUGCUUUAUCCUUCAUCAUAUUCUGUCAAUAGUUUGUUUGUUUUGUUUAACGACACCGCUAGAGCACAUUGAUUUAUUAAUCAUCGGCUAUUGGAUGUCAAACAUUUGGUAAUUUCGACUCAUAUAGUCAUUAGAGAAAACUCACUAAAUUUUUCUAAUGCAGCAAGUGAUCUUUUAUAUGCACCAUCCCACAGACAGGAUAGCACAUACCACGGUCUUUGAUAUACCAGUUGAGGUGCACUGGCUGGAACAAGAAAUAGCCCAAUGGGCCC
rnacentral:misc_RNA from 1 species